CUAUGCAACUUACUACUUUCC
rnacentral:miRNA from 15 species